rnacentral:piRNA from 1 species
ACGACGCAAGAUAAUUGACAGAUGCCUG